rnacentral:tRNA from 1 species
GCGGGUGUGGCGAAAUGGUAGACGCGCUAGGUUUAGGUCCUAGUGGGGUAACCCAUGAAGGUUCAAGUCCUUUCACCCGCACCA